GGCCCACACCGGAGAUCCUCGAGGCUGAUGGGCUAUGCGUGGAGGAAAGAGGGAUGGGUGGGAGGCUGUGAACUUGAAAGUUCCGUGCUCUGACCCCGACCCUGCCGGCUCCACUUGAAAUUGGCUCUGAAAGAGAUGGUUAAUCAUUUCCCUGGGAACCUCCUCCUACGGACGGAUGGCUGGAGUCAUGUUCAGGCCGCCCCUUCCUGUUCAGGCCAGCCCCUUCAUGGACACCAUUCAGAAAAUACAGCACCAAGAAUUGAGCUCCAGCUUGCUCUCCAAACAGGAGCUGGCCUCUGCAGCCUACGACCGCCUCCUGUCCCUGAUCUGGGGAAUGGAAUCACAUUUUUGGAUUCUUCAUUUUCAAUUCAAGAAGAAUGAUAAAUUUCCAGAGACUCUUUAACAGAACAUCUUCAAAGCAUCUUCCUUCAGCAAACGACGAACCAACGCCUUGCUUCACCUGGGCAGAGCAAUUCCAAUCCUUCUGUCUAUGGCAUUUGCUCUUCCUUGUGUCAGUUUCAGAGGUGGUGAAAUUAGUGUCCAGAAUAAAGUCGGGCUCGAAGGCGCAGAGAAGGCAUCCCAGAUGGAUAGACCCCUGGAGUACAUAUUCAAGUUAUGCUCAACACAUCAUGACUCUCUGAACCUUUAAUCUCCAUCACAAAUGCUAAAUAAACAGCAAUUUGCAAUUUGAAAACACUAAGUAAAUUAUCUUUAUGAGCCACCA